ensembl:lncRNA
GGCCAUUGCUGUGUAGGCUUGGGCUCUGACCUGGAAGCCGAACUCUGCUGCAGGCACGGAGUCUCCAUGAAGAGCACACGGGGAGAGAAGAUGCUUCACAGGAGCCCUGGAUCUCCCUGGCACAUGGAGUACCUUGGAGGAGUGUAAGGGCAGCCAGGAAAGUUCUGAGAUUGCUACAGGACAAAAUCUUGUGCUUCUGAGCUCUGCAAUGAAGUUUUAAUCACCCCAAUAUACAUCUUUCCACGACAUAUAUUUUUCUGUCCACCAAAGACAUAAUGGCUGCUCCUUUUAUGGGAAACCAGGAUUUAAUCCAGCAAACCAAAUGACAGAAUCUGAGACCAUCCAAUGUCCUGCUCUGCCAAAAACAUCCUGUGGAUAUUUUAAGGCCCACCAAAGGCUCUCCCAAGACUGUUUUCCCCUAUCACACCCAUAAGCUCCCAGAUGGCAUCCUGUAUCCACCGACACAGAAAAUAAUUUCCCAGUAUUU